rnacentral:rRNA from 1 species
UACGUAGGGUGCAAGCGUUAAUCGGAAUUACUGGGCGUAAAGCGUGCGCAGGCGGUUCUAUAAGAUAGAUGUGAAAUCCCCGGGCUCAACCUGGGAACUGCAUUUGUGACUGUAGAGCUGGAGUACGGCAGAGGGGGAUGGAAUUCCGCGUGUAGCAGUGAAAUGCGUAGAUAUGCGGAGGAACACCGAUGGCGAAGGCAAUCCCCUGGGCCUGUACUGACGCUCAUGCACGAAAGCGUGGGGAGCAAACAGG